rnacentral:rRNA from 1 species
GAUGAACGCUGGCGGCGUGCCUAAUACAUGCAAGUCGAGCGAAGCGGGGACGGGUGAGUAACACGUGGAUAACCUCCUAUAAGACGGGGAUAACUUCGGGAAACCGGAGCUAAACCGGAACCUGAUAGAUGGAGCCGAGCGGCAUUAGCUAGGAGGAAAGGUAACGGCUUACCAAGGCAACGAUGCGUAGGCGACCUGAGAGGUUGAUCGGCCAACCUGGAACUGAGACACGGUCCAGACUCCUACGGGAGGCAGCAGUGGGGAAUCUUCCGCAAUGGGCGAAAGCCUGACGGAGCAACGCCGCGUGAGUGAUGAAGGUCUUCGGAUCGUAAAGCUCUGUUAUUAGGGAAGCGGUACCUACUCAGAAAGCCCCGGCUAACUACGUGCCAGCAGCCGCGGUAAUAC